rnacentral:rRNA from 1 species
CCUACGGGAGGCUGCAGUGGGGAAUAUUGGUCAAUGGACGAGAGUCUGAACCAGCCAAGUAGCGUGAAGGAUGACUGCCCUAUGGGUUGUAAACUUCUUUUAUAUGGGAAUAAAACGUUCCACGUGUGGGAUUUUGUAUGUACCAUAUGAAUAAGGAUCGGCUAACUCCGUGCCAGCAGCCGCGGUAAUACGGAGGAUCCGAGCGUUAUCCGGAUUUAUUGGGUUUAAAGGGAGCGUAGGUGGAUUGUUAAGUCAGUUGUGAAAGUUUGCGGCUCAACCGUAAAAUUGCAGUUGAAACUGGCAGUCUUGAGUACAGUAGAGGUGGGCGGAAUUCGUGGUGUAGCGGUGAAAUGCUUAGAUAUCACGAAGAACUCCGAUUGCGAAGGCAGUUCACUGGACUGCAACUGACACUGAGGCUCGAAAGUGUGGGUAUCAAACAGGAUUAGAUACCCGUGUAGUC